rnacentral:rRNA from 1 species
GAUGAACGCUGGCGGCGUGCCUAAUACAUGCAAGUCGAGCGAACAGAUGAGGAGCUUGCUCCUCUGACGUUAGCGGCGGACGGGUGAGUAACACGUGGAUAACCUACCUAUAAGACUGGGAUAACUUCGGGAAACCGGAGCUAAUACCGGAUAAUAUAUUGAACCGCAUGGUUCAAUAGUGAAAGACGGUUUUGCUGUCACUUAUAGAUUGAUCCGCGCCGCAUUAGCUAGUUGGUAAGGUAACGGCUUACCAAGGCAACGAUGCGUAGCCGACCUGAGAGGGUGAUCGGCCACACUGGAACUGAGACACGGCCCAGACUCCUACGGGAGGCAGCAGUAGGGAAUCUUCCGCAAUGGGCGAAAGCCUGACGGAGCAACGCCGCGUGAGUGAUGAAGGUCUUCGGAUCGUAAAACUCUGUUAUUAGGGAAGAACAAAUGUGUAAGUAACUAUGCACGUCUUGACGGUACCUAAUCAGAAAGCCACGGCUAACUACGUG